rnacentral:rRNA from 1 species
UAGGGAAUCUUCGGCAAUGGACGAAAGUCUGACCGAGCAACGCCGCGUGAGUGAAGAAGGUUUUCGGAUCGUAAAACUCUGUUGUUAGAGAAGAACAAGGACGUUAGUAACUGAACGUCCCCUGACGGUAUCUAACCAGAAAGCCACGGCUAACUACGUGCCAGCAGCCGCGGUAAUACGUAGGUGGCAAGCGUUGUCCGAAUUUAUUGGGCGUAAAGCGAGCGCAGGCGGGUUCUUAAGUCUGAUGUGAAAGCCCCCGGCUCAACCGGGGAGGGUCAUUGGAAACUGGGAGACUUGAGUGCAGAAGAGGAGAGUGGAAUUCCAUGUGUAGCGGUGAAAUGCGUAGAUAUAUGGAGGAACACCAGUGGCGAAGGCGGCUCUCUGGUCUGUAACUGACGCUGAGGCUCGAAAGCGUGGGGAGCAAACAGG